CCUACUGGAGGCAGCAGUGGGGAAUAUUGGGCAAUGGGCGAAAGCCUGACCCAGCAAUGCCGCGUGAAUGAUGAAGGUCUUAGGAUUGUAAAAUUCUGUCCUAUGGGAAGAAAAAAAUGACGGUACCAUAGGCGGAAGCCCCGGCUAACUACGUGCCAGCAGCCGCGGUAAUACGGAGGGUGCGAGCGUUAAUCGGAAUUACUGGGGGUAAAGCGCUCGUAGGCGGGAUGUCAAGUCAAGGGUUAAAUCUCAGCGGUCAACGUGGGAACUGCCGUUGAAACUGGCAAACUUGAGUGGGUGAGAGGAAAGUGGAAUGCCAGGUGUAGGAGUGAAAUCCGUAGAUAUCAGGAAGAACAUCAGUGGCGAAGGCGACGAUCUGGCGCAUAACUGACGCUGAGGAGCGAAAGCGUGGGUAGCGAACAGGAUUAGAUACCCCAGUAGUC
rnacentral:rRNA from 1 species